CCUACGGGAGGCAGCAGUGGGGGAUAUUGCACAAUGGGGGAAACCCUGAUGCAGCGACGCCGCGUGUGGGAAGACGGUCCUCUGGAUUGUAAACCACUGUCCCCAGGGACGAAGAUGAUGGUACCUGGGGAGGAAGCUCCGGCUAACUACGUGCCAGCAGCCGCGGUAAUCGGUGGGGAGCGCGCGUUGUCCGGAAUUACUGGGUGUAAAGGGAGCGUAGGCGGGGAUGCAAGUUGGGUGUGAAAACUUCGGGCUCAACUGGUAGUCGCACUCAAAACUGCAGAUCUUGAGUGAAGUAGAGGCAGGCGGAAUUCCUAGUGUAGCGGUGAAAUGCGUAGAUAUUAGGAGGAACACCAGUGGCGAAGGCGGCCUGCUGGGCUUUUACUGACGCUGAGGCUCGAAAGUGUGGGGAGCAAACAGGAUUAGAUACCCCAGUAGUC
rnacentral:rRNA from 1 species